AACGCUAGCUACAGGCUUAACACAUGCAAGUCGAGGGGCAGCAUUGGAGUAGCAAUACUUCAGAUGGCGACCGGCGCACGGGUGAGUAACACGUAUCCAACCUGCCGCUUACUCGGGGAUAGCCUUUCGAAAGAAAGAUUAAUACCCGAUGGUAUAAAGAGUUCGCAUGUUCUCUUUAUUAAAGAAUUUCGGUAAGCGAUGGGGAUGCGUUCCAUUAGAUUGUUGGCGGGGUAACGGCCCACCAAGUCUACGAUGGAUAGGGGUUCUGAGAGGAAGGUCCCCCACAUUGGAACUGAGACACGGUCCAAACUCCUACGGGAGGCAGCAGUGAGGAAUAUUGGUCAAUGGACGAGAGUCUGAACCAGCCAAGUAGCGUGAAGGAUGACUGCCCUAUGGGUUGUAAACUUCUUUUAUAAGGGAAUAAAGUGAGGGACGUGUCCCUUUUUGUAUGUACCUUAUGAAUAAGGAUCGGCUAACUCCGUGCCAGCAGCCGCGGUAAUACGGAGGAUCCAAGCGUUAUCCGGAUUUAUUGGGUUUAAAGGGAGCGUAGGUUGACCUAUAAGUCAGCUGUGAAAGUUUACGGCUCAACCGUGAAAUUGCAGUUGAUACUGUAUGUCUUGAGUGUACAAGAGGUGGGCGGAAUUCGUGGUGUAGCGGUGAAAUGCUUAGAUAUCACGAAGAACUCCGAUUG
rnacentral:rRNA from 1 species